GAUGAACGUUGGCGGUGUGCCUAAUACAUGCAAGUCGAACGGCAGCACAGCAGAGCUUGCUCUGUGGGUGGCGAGUGGCGGACGGGUGAGGAAUACAUGGGAAUCUGCCCAGUCGUGGGGGAUAACGUAGGGAAACUUACGCUAAUACCGCAUGCGCCCUUCGGGGGAAAGCCGGGGACCGUAAGGCCUGGCGCGAUUGGAUGAGCCCAUGUCGGAUUAGCUAGUUGGCGGGGUAAAGGCCCACCAAGGCGACGAUCCGUAGCUGGUCUGAGAGGAUGAUCAGCCACACUGGAACUGAGACACGGUCCAGACUCCUACGGGAGGCAGCAGUAGGAAUAUUGGACAAUGGGCGCAAGCCUGAUCCAGCCAUGCCGCGUGAGUGAUGAAGGCCUUAGGGUUGUAAAGCUCUUUCAGUAGGGACGAUAAUGACGGUACCUACAGAAGAAGCCCCGGCUAACUUCGUG
rnacentral:rRNA from 1 species